GUUUGAACCUGGGGAAAAAAGAUGAUGAUGGAUGAUGAUGAUGAUGAUGAUGAUGAUGAUGAUGAUGAUGAUGAUGAUGAUGAUGAUGAUGAUGAUGAUGUUUAGAAAAUAGUAAUCAUGCUCCACUAAAGUUUAGGGAUUUAGUCUUUUUAACUAAGCUUUACCAGACCAUUGGGAAAAAAGUGUACUCGCUAGUAUCUCAACCUUUGAACCACUAAGCGAAUAAGAAAGAGGGUGACGACAUCGUGCUUUUAUAAAUAGCUGAAAUGUUAAAAACAACAAUAAGUACAAUAAGUUAAAGUUUAAAUAUUUAUGUCCUUUUGAAUAGGUACUCAUAUAUCUCUGUACUGUCUUUCCUACUAUCCAGGUGACUGCGUUAAGUGGGUUGGGUUAUGUCUUUGUAUGGCGUUCACACCACCACAUAAUAGUCUGUUUAUAGGUCUUGACGAUAACAGGAAACUUUGAAGCUGGGAUACAGAUGGUUGUAAACUAUGAUACAGAUGCACGCACAUAAAGGUCUGAGAGGAUUGUUGAUUAAAGUAAGGAAACAUUGUUCAAGCAGUUUCAGUUUCCUCGAUGGUGGUGUGAGAAGUAGCAUGUGUGUAUAGGCUUAUCUGGUAAAUUAAAUGUGUCCAUGGGCGUAAACCUUUCACAAGAUCAACAUGAGCAGGUCCUUGUUGUCAUUAUUUCCUUAAGGAUGACAGUAUAACCAUUCUCUGAGAGGGGCAAAUCCGCAAGUUUAGUCAGAUAAUAGGUUAUGGAGAGAUUUAAUUAAGGAAAUAUUUCUAUCAAAACACUUGAAGUGUUAAGAGAGAAAGACCAGGAAACCCUUUAUAGGACAAGUUAGCUUCUCUUGUUAAAAGGAAGUAAAAAUGAGACUAUGGUCUUCUAGAUAUAGAUGUAGACAGACAGAGAGACAGAGAGACAGAGAGACAGAGAGACAGACAGACAGACAGAUUAUUUUUGGUUUUUUUAGUACAUUUCCUGUUUUCACCUAGCGAUAAACCCAACUAGCCAAUGCUAUCCUUUCUUUUUUUUUCUCAGUAUUAGUCUAGACAACAUGGGAAUUGUAACGGAGAAACAAGAGAAACCUUUACAUGCCUCAAGGUAGAAGGCACAAAAUACAUUAAAGGGAACAGAACAUGAUACUAUCACGUGGUGGUAUUGUAGAAAGUAUGCCGAACCCUACUACCUCAGCCGGAAUCUUUCAACAAUUUCAAUUAACCCAUUAGUAAUUGUAGGUCCAAACCAGGAAGAUUAGAAUGCACAGAGGAUGGCACGAUCUGGGAUUUUUCGAAGCCUCAUCGUGAACUUAGUAUCAAACAAAGUAGGGAUAAGCCCUUACUAAGUCCCAACUUAAGUCUGGUAUGGUAUACACUGCCUUGUGGUAGUGUUCCACGAGGAAAUAUCAUAUAAAGAACAGACUAGGACACGAUCUGGCAAUGAGUUCCUCUACUGGUCCUUCUUUCAAAUAAACACUCUCAAUCCUUUGUCCAGCUGGUAUUAACAGUUGACCUAGGGGCAAUAUUCUGAGUUAAGCUGCAGCACCUGGUAGGAACUCUUUUCUCCAACUACAAGAUAACUCUCUAUUGUCUGACCUUUCACAUCCUUAUAGUAGUCUUCCUUUAAAAUGACCAUAGACCAGAUGAAAGAUUAAAAAGUGAUAUAAAUUAAGAUUGACAUUCAAAACCUGGAUAGGCAUUAGUAUAUCAGGUGCACCUAAUUCUCCACAAAUGAAAUUAAAAUGAGGCUUCAGAUGUGCGCAGAUACACACUUCAACCUUUUGGGUAUUUUUGUGCAGAAAUGUUGAAGUGUGUGCCAGAACACCAAAGACCUGAUGGACUCAGGGAUGGUCAGAUGAAGACAAGAAGACACUGACUCAUAGCUUGUUUACAGAAGUUACUACUGUUUGGAAGACAGAAGACUGGACCUCCAGGAAACAAGGAUUGGAGCAACUUCUUUGGGCGACAUCAAGAAAAAUUAGAUUUUCUAGCCUGUUAUUAGCUUGUCUCUAUUCAUUUCCCCAGUGUAUCAUCUGUACUUACUAUGCUUUUUGAAAUGCUUAUUAUCUCUCUUUUUUGAACUGCUUGGUGUAUAUUAUUAUUCCUUAAUUGAAUGUUUAUGCAUUUACGUUUAAAAUGUUUACUAAAAUGUGUAGUUGUUUAUUUAUUUUCACUCCUAAGCUCAGUUUUGUUUUUGUCAACAGAUGAUGAAAAAGGAAAUGAUCAAUGGCCAAACCUUGACAUCAGGCCUGACAACUGAUACAUAAACAAACUUUGAAGACCUAACAUUAACUCAUCAUGUAGACUAAUCUGUAAUUAAAUUAAUUGGACAUUGGUAGCUUUUACAACGGAGUUGAUUACUCAUACAGCAAUUUGCAUUUUUUAAAUAAUUCCAAAGACAGUCUAAUUUUUGUCGACUAAUGUAUGGAGCUAUCUUUUCACUAAAUCCUAAUUGGAAUAACACUUAACUGGAACUAGACUUAGGAAAUAAAAAGCAAAUUUCAUAACAUUUUAUUUCUCAAAAUUUGUCUAAAAAAUUCUAUUUUAUAAAUUUGACUAAGACUUUGUUUAACUAUUUACAUUCUGUUAUUUUAUUUUUAUUUAUUUAUUUAUUUUUUAUAUUAAUUAUUUUCUAAAAUUUCUUGUUGAAAUUAUGCAUCAAAUUUCUUUUCUCUUUAAAAAGCUAAAACUAAAUUGCAAAAGUUCCCAGAAAGAUUUUUUUAAAUUCAGGUGCUUAAACAAAAGUAAUCAAACUGAUUUUUAUAGUUUAAAAAUCGCAAGAAUUAAAAACCGAUAUUUUUUCAAUCCAGCUGCAUUAAACAAAAGCUAACAAGAACUAAACAAAGCUAAUCAAGCUAAUAAACAUUAAAAAUCGAAUGUAAACUGUUUAAUAUAUUAACCAUUUGUAUUUACUUUAUGCGUGGUUGGAAAGAUGUAUUGUUUGUAGAAAACUUGACAUGUUUAUUGUUAAUAAACUACGAUGGUUCUCGAAUGGCCUCUGUUGUUUUUUCAAUAAUAAACACCGAAACUCCGAAAAGGAUCGAUGUCAACAAUCUAAGCCGUGAACGUAGCAGAGGCAUGCCAGAUCAUUGCUGCAAUAUUGUUUACUAUGUGUUUUUAUUUUGUUAUAAUCAUGAUUGACUCAGCCAUUCUUCCAGAUGUUUACUACUAGCAGCUGACAAUUAUGUUUCUAGUCCUUCGUCUUUAUUGCUUAGGUACAUUAUGACUAGUGGUACUAACUGACAGUACGUAAUAAGAGUUUAAUUAUGAGUGAUCUCACGAUUGACUAAAAUAAUUAAUGUUUUAGAAGGUUAGACAGCUAUUGUAAUUAGCUUAUGGUAUUUAAUAGAGGACGCAGAACUUUUGGCCUUAAAAGUUUAUUACUAAAUAAUUUUUUCCUCUCCAAAACCACUAAAACAACUUUUGAAGUAUAUAAAUCAACUAACGUAAAUAGGAAGAAAAGUAAAGUUGUUCGGUCAUUAGUGUAACCUAAUAUCUUUGUGUUGUAGAAAAUAAUUGUAGUUUUUCUCGCUAGCAAUUAACACUAUUUGCGUUAAAAUAACACUUAUAUAAAUAUUUGCUUAAUAUUUUUUCUGCAGUAUUUUGAAAAUAUUAUUUUCCUGUUAAGGAUAGGGUGGAAAGAUAAAAAAGAGAAUACCACACACUGAAAGUGAAAGAUACUCUAGUAGUUUUUCUUACAAAGUAGUUGCUAUCUAUUUUCAGGUGACAGCAAAAUCCACACCGAUUCAAGUACCAGUUUUAUUAUCAUUAUUGGCGGUGGAGCUGGUGGUGGAUUUGUCCUAAUUAUCAUCAUCAUUAUCGUCGUUGUCAAGUGCAGAAAAUCACGUGACGUGAACAUUCAAAGCAUUGCUAGUAUCGCAGCUGAGAAGCAAGCAGCGAGAAAGAGUGAUUCCAGUGCAGGCACAGGGGCAGGGGCAGCAGGCAACGACAGCAAGAGUGGAGGGUCGAGUGCGCGUUCCUCGUCCAGUGGCAGCGACAAGCCCUCGUCCAACCCCAACUACACCUCCACCGCACUGCAAGAAGUGGAGAUCCACGCCUACAUGGACCUACACACUAGAGAUCCUACAUACGCCGCCACAGCUUCAAAGAAAGAUAACCAUACCUACAUAGAGCUUCGCACGAAGCGAAUGCAGUCUGAACCACCUCAACCUCCCGCGGAAGGAUCGCGAAAUUCUGCAAUUUAUGCAAAUCAGGGGAGAUCACCCAAAACUCCAGUUGUAGAAGAAGAAGAGGAAGAUGAAACUAAUUAUUAUAAUACAGCCUGAAAACAACCCUCAUCUGAAUGGCAAUGGAAAUCGCUACAACCAGUGAAAACUGCUCAGUCCCUAUUCGUGGAGGUGGAUCUUGCAAGUUCUUCAGCUCACGAGUAGCAGAUGGAGAAGAGGCCAGUUCAGUCCAGGCAAAGACAGAACAAAGAUAGGAAAACAAACUUUGUGGCAUCAGAACUAAGAAUUAUGAUGUUAAGGCAAACAUAGAACUGUAGAAUGUAAUGUUCAGUGUAACAAUUUCAUCUUUUGUGUUUCUGUUACUUGCUGAGGUUUAGAAAUUGAAAGGAUGCAAACAAAAAUCCUGUGAUCAGUAGAUUAUGCAUAAAAGGAAGAAAGAAAGAAUUGUGCAGUUAAACAAAUUUUUAUUGUCAUUAAACAUUGUUUUGACACUAAUUGAUAUGCAAGCACAUAUAAGAAUCCUUUUCCUCUGGAAAAAAGUGAAUUUUUUUCAUAAAAGAUAGAGCCACAAUUACUACCAGAAUGUUAUGUGCAUAUGUACAGACUGUGUGUGUGUGUGUGUUUAUGUGUGUGUGUGUGUGUGUUUAUGUGUGUACAUAUCUUUCCAGAAAAUUCAUAACAAGACUCUACUUAAAAAUUUAAAAAUUAAAUAUCUUCAGCAACAUUUUUGUUACUGCUGUGGAGCAUUAUAGCUUCUGACCUCUGACGUGUUGACAUUUUAAUUUGUUGUUAGUCAUAUUUUGUUUAUAUUUUCUGAAUUAGAAAAACAAGAAUUAGAAAUGAUAAAAUGCCUCUUAACUUUCCUUUACAAGUAUGGGAAAAUGUACAAGUAAUUCAAAUUGGUCUUUCCUGACAGUCACAAUCUUUAUUUGUCUUUCAGUCAAAAACAGUUAUUCUUUACCAGUGGCUUUAAACAUCCUAGAAUGUUGUUUGCAUUAAGUUGCCUAGUUUCUUAGUAACCUUAUUGAUAAUUAUCUAUUCUGUGCUGAAUAAAUCUGAAUGAUUCUUUAUCAGUAAAGUAGCACUAGGACAGCAAUGCAAUCUUUGAUAGCUUAUAAGUUGUAUUCAGUUAAUUAAAAAAAUUCACCUGAAUAAAAAGAAACUUUCACGAGGUAUGCCAUUCAUUUAACUACCUGCUUUUGUUGAUAUUUUAGUUAGAAAUCUUUCACAUCUGUUUCGUCUGUUUUAUGUCUACUGCUUAGUUUCAUGUUAUUUAUUAGGAGCAGAAUAAACAAGAUUAUAAAUAAACUAUUUUAAUGGCAUUCUGUUAUUGCUUUUCCAAUGUGAAGUAAAUAUCAGAGAAAUAAAACUCUUUCAAUGUGUAUCUGUA